rnacentral:ribozyme from 11 species
AUGAGACAAGGAAAGAAAAACAAAUCAACUCCCCCCAAUCUCCUUUCUUUUCUUUCUUUCCUUUCUUCCUUUCUUUCUUUCUUUCUUUCUCUCUCUUCCUUCCGUGGAGUGGUUGGGUCUUCUUAACAGUCAGAAGAGUCA